rnacentral:rRNA from 1 species
UAGGGAAUCUUCGGCAAUGGACGAAAGUCUGACCGAGCAACGCCGCGUGAGUGAAGAAGGUUUUCGGAUCGUAAAACUCUGUUGUUAGAGAAGAACAAGGACGUUAGUAACUGAACGUCCCCUGACGGUAUCUAACCAGAAAGCCACGGCUAACUACGUGCCAGCAGCCGCGGUAAUACGUAGGUGGCAAGCGUUGUCCGGAUUUAGUGGGCGUAAAGCGAGCGCAGGCGGUUUCUCAAGUCUGAUGUGAAAGCCCCCGGCUCAACCGGGGAGGGUCAUUGGAAACUGGGAGACUUGAGUGCAGAAGAGGAGAGUGGAAUUCCAUGUGUAGCGAUGAAAUGCAGAGAUAUAUGGAGGAACACCAGGGGCGAAGUCAGCUCUCUGGUCGGUAACUGACGCUGAGGAUCGAAAGCGUGGUGAGCAAACGGG